UGCCUUACACAUGCAAGUCGAACGGCAGCACGGAUUUCGGUCUGGUGGCGAGUGGCGAACGGGUGAGUAAUAUAUCGGAACAUACCCUAGAGUGGGGGAUAACGUAGCGAAAGUUACGCUAAUACCGCAUACGAUCUACGGAUGAAAGUGGGGGAUCGCAAGACCUCAUGCUCAUGGAGUGGCCGAUAUCUGAUUAGCUAGUUGGUGGGGUAAAGGCCCACCAAGGCGACGAUCAGUAGCUGGUCUGAGAGGACGACCAGCCACACUGGAACUGAGACACGGUCCAGACUCCUACGGGAGGCAGCAGUGGGGAAUUUUGGACAAUGGGGGCAACCCUGAUCCAGCAAUGCCGCGUGAGUGAAGAAGGCCUUCGGGUUGUAAAGCUC
rnacentral:rRNA from 1 species